ACGGAGGGUGCGAGCGUUAAUCGGAAUUACUGGGCGUAAAGCGCGCGUAGGCGGUUUGGUCAGUCGAUUGUGAAAGCCCUGGGCUUAACCUGGGAAUUGCAGUCGAUACUGCCUGACUAGAAUGUGGAAGAGGGAAGUGGAAUUUCCGGUGUAGCGGUGAAAUGCGUAGAUAUCGGAAGGAACACCAGUGGCGAAGGCGGCUUCCUGGUCCAACAUUGACGCUGAGGUGCGAAAGCGUGGGGAGCGAACAGG
rnacentral:rRNA from 1 species